rnacentral:rRNA from 1 species
CCUACGGGUGGCAGCAGUGAGGAAUAUUGGGCAAUGGGCGCAAGCCUGACGCAGCAACGCCGCGUGAAGGAAGAAGGCUUUCGGGUUGUAAACUUCUUUUGUCAGGGAAGAGUAGAAGACGGUACCUGACGAAUAAGACACGGCUAACUACGUGCCAGCAGCCGCGGUAAGACGUAGGUGGCAAGCGUUGUCCGGAUUUACUGGGGGGAAAGGGCGUGUAGCCGGGGUGACAAGGCAGAUGUGAAAUCCUGCGGCUUAACCGCAGAACUGCAUUGGAACCUGUUGAUCUUGAGUACUGGAGAGGCAGGCGGAAUUCCUGGUGUAGCGGUGAAAUGCGUAGAUAUCAGGAGGAACACCAGUGGCGAAGGCGGUCUGCUGGACCGCAACUGACGGUGAGGCGCGAAAGCGUGGGGAGCAAACAGGAUUAGAUACCCGAGUAGUC